GGUCAAGUCAAACUCAUGCCUCAGGGCAGCGAAGUGGUCAUAGUGGGGUGUUAUUGGUGUAUACUAAAAAUUAGUCUGCUAUUAAUAAUGUUUUAUAUAUGGUUACUAGUAUUAUGAGUUAAUGAUUGUUAAUCAGAAGAGUUAUAUCGACCCGUCUUGAAACACGGACCAAGAGUCUAACAUGUAUGCGAGUCUAAGAGUGUUAAAACUUGAUUAGGCGAAAUGAAAGUAAGAUGGUAAGAGAACCGCAAGGUUUGCAUUAUCGAUCACUCCUGAUCCUCGAGUGAAGGAAGUGAAUAGUAGCAUAUAUGAUAGAACCCGAAAGAUGGUGAACUAUACUUGAGUAGAAUGAAGUCAGAGGAAACUCUGAUGGAGGUUCGUAGGGGGUUCUGACGUGCAAAUCGAUCUUUAAACUUGAGUAUAGGGGCG
rnacentral:rRNA from 1 species